CAAAGGUUUGAUCCUGACUUUUCCAUCUGCUAUAGACAUAUUUAUACAUGCAAGUAUCAGCCCUCCAGUGAAAAUGCCCCCAACUCCUGAGAUGUAGACGGGGAGCCGGUAUCAGGCACGCAAACAGCAGCCCAUGACACCUUGUUUAGCCACACCCCCAAGGGUAUUCAGCAGUGAUUGACUUUAAGCAAUAAGUGUAAACUUGACUUAGUAAUGACUAACCUUUUAAGGCCGGUAAAAUUCGUGCCAGCAACCGCGGUUAUACGAAAGGCCUAAGUGGAUGGAUUGCGGCGUAAAGGGUGGUUUAGGAAACCCAUCACUAAAGUUGAACCCCCUCUUAGCAGUUGUAAGCUUACGAGGACGAGAAACUCAUCCACGAAAGUGACUUUACCCUCCUGACCCCACGAAAGCUAGGAAACAAACUGGGAUUAGAUACCCCACUAUGCCUAGUCGUAAACAAUGAUAUAAUAACAUCAAAUUAUUCGCCAGGGUAUUACGAACACUAGUUUAAAACCCAAAGGAUCUGGCGGUGCUUAAUACCCAUCUAGAGGAGCCUGUUCUAUAACCGAUAACCCCCGUUAAACCUCACCCCCUUUUGCAACCCCUGCCUAUAUACCGCCGUCGUCAGCUCACCUUACAAGAGGAUAAAAGUAAGCAGAAUUGGCAUAGCCCAAAACGCCAGGUCGAGGUGUAGUAUAUGAGGGGGGAAGAAAUGGGCUACAUUGACUAAUUUAGUCUAUACGGAAAGUAAAGUGAAAACUGACUUUUUUGAAGGUGGAUUUAGAAGUAAGUGAAAAAUAGAGAGUUUCACUGAAUGCGGCUCUUAAGCGCGUACAUACCGCCCGUCACCUUCCCCAAAGAUUCCAAAACUUGAUUAAUAAUCCAUUACUAAGUAAUUUUAUAGGGGACGGAAGUCGUAACAUGGUAAGUGUACCGGAAGGUGUACUUGGUCU
rnacentral:ncRNA from 1 species